GAAAUGCGAUAACUAGUGUGAAUUGCAGAAUUCCGUGAAUCAUCGAGUCUUUGAACGCACAUUGCGCCCCCUGGUAUUCCGGGGGGCAUGCCUGUCCGAGCGUCAUUGCUGCCCAUCAAGCACGGCUUGUGUGUUGGGUCGUCGCCCCCUCUCCGGGGGGGACGGGCCCCAAAGGCAGCGGCGGCACCGCGUCCGAUCCUCGAGCGUAUGGGGCUUUGUCACCCGCUCUGUAGGCCCGGCCGGCGCUUGCCGAACGCAAAUCAAUCUUUUUCCAGGUUGACCUCGGAUCAGGUAGGGAUACCCGCUGAACUUAAGC
rnacentral:misc_RNA from 1 species